GGCCUAUCGAAUUUUAUUUUAGGUCUGGCCUGCCCAAUGAUAAUUUAAAUGGCCGCGGUAUAUUGACCGUGCAAAGGUAGCAUAAUCAUUAGUUUUUUAAUUGGAAGCUAGCAUGAAAGGUUUGAUGAGGAAAAAUCUGUCUCUUUUAAAAUUUAUUAGAAUUUUAUUUUUAAGUUAAAAAGCUUAGAUUUGAAUGGAAGACGAGAAGACCCUUUAGAGUUUAAUAUUUACUAGGAUUACAAAUAUUAGGUUAUAAAAUUUUCUUAUUUAGGUAAAUAUUUUGCUGGGGUGACAGAAAAAUUAAUUUAACUUUUUUUGAGUUAAACCAUUGAUUUAUGAAUAAAUGAUCCUUUGAUUAAGAUUAGAAGAGUAAAUUACCUAAGGGAUAACAGCGUGAUUUUUUAUAGAGUUCUAAUCGAAUAAAAAGAUUGCGACCUCGAUGUUGGAUUAAAAUUAAUAAUUGGCGCAGAAGUUGAUUAAUUAGGUCUGUUCGACCUUUAAAAUUUUACAUGAUCUGAGUUUAAACCGGCGUGAG
rnacentral:rRNA from 1 species